rnacentral:rRNA from 1 species
GUGUAAAGAUCUGUCGUGAGGGAAGAAAAGCUUGGAUGUAAAUAAUGUUCAGGUGUGACGGUACCUUACAAGAAAGCACCGGCUAACUUCGUGCCAGCAGCCGCGGUAAUACGAGGGGUGCUAGCGUUGUCCGGAAUAACUGGGCGUAAAGGGUCCGUAGGCGUUUUGCCAAGUUGAUCGUUAAAGCCACCGGCUCAACCGGUGAUCUGCGAUCAAAACUGGUAGAAUAGAAUAUGUGAGGGGAAUGUGGAAUUCCUGGUGUAGCGGUGACAUGCGUAGAUAUCAGGAGGAACACCAAUGGCGAAGGCAGCAUUCUGGCACAAUAUUGACGCUGAGGGACGAAAGCGUGGGGAGCGAACAGGAUUAGAUACCCUGGUAGUCCACGCCGUAAACGAUGAGUACUUGGUGGUGGAGGAUUCGACCCCUUCACUAUCGGAGCUAACGCGUUAAGUACUCCGCCUGGGGACUACGGCCGCAAGGUUG